UUGAGGGCCAGUCCUCUUGAAAACCAUCUCACCUCACGGUGGUAGAGCAGCUGGACGUGAUCUGCUUCCAUGUCCUCACAAAGCUUGGUGAAACAUCUGGAGUUCCCAGCAUUAUUUUUAAUCACAUUGAUGGUUUUCACACUUGUAUCCAUCACUUUGUGGAUUUCUGGAGACAUCUU